UAUUCAUAAUGGAAAGCUAUAUGCUUUUCUGGUAGGAAUUGGGAUGCUUCUGGAAUGUGGAUCAUCUACCACAGUCUGCAUUUCGUGUGCUACCCUGUAAGAUUGGUAUUUUAAUUUUGGCUUAAUUAUGUGCAUGCUCUCUGUGUUUUCAAAUUUAUCUCAGAUUACCACCUGUGUUUGCAAACGUCUCAAAGUACCCCCCCAAUCUUUUAAAAAACCGUCUCACAUUACCCAUUCCGUCAAUUUUUUUGAUGUUCCGUUUUCUCCUCCUUCCCCCCCCCCAAAAUCCAGAACUGCAGCCCCUCCCAUUUGUUACUGUUUAUCCGAUCAGUUUUUGGGCCGCCAUCUCCUCCUCCGGCCCACCCAUGCGAUGGCAUGGGUAUCAAAAGAACCAGCACGUUGUCCUCUACCAUCCUCACAUCUCAGCCGCUGCCAACCGCCGUCUGGAUUGCCGGAAAAAGCAAGAAAUUGGCCAGUUUUUACCCAAAAUAUCCAUCGCUCGUUCGGGCGAUUCCGAGCACCAUUUGCUUCGAUCCAGUCUUAUCAAACGAAAACAUAAUGAAGAAGUCAAAGAAGUGAGCACAACAACAAUACAGAGACCGAGAAAAUUACAAGAGAUGAAGAACAAAAGUGGGUUCUUCCAACCACUAGAAAGAAUCUCUCUCUUCUCAACCCAAAUUCUCAAUAGAGAAUCCCCAAUUACACCCAUGACUCGCAGGUUCACAAGUCCUAAACCAUACACCCUAAAAUUAGGGGGGGAAAACAAGGGCUAACCGGCUAAAAAAAAGCUACAAAACAAGGUGGGAAAGACCAAAAAGAGCUACAAAAUCAUUUACAAGGCAACUUUAGAAAACAAAACUGCAUCCGCGUGGCUCGAGCAGUUUUGCAACAUCACGAAAUCGUUCUCUCUGGACUGGAAAAUGUAGCUGGAGAACUGGUGCAUAUCCACUCAAUUGGAUUUUCUGCAGAAUAUUCCCUCGCACUUUUCUUGAGCUGAUUAAGCACUUGGGCUCCAUGAUUGAGCAAACUAACUUCUUUUCCUCGGCAAAUUCACUUCUUUUUUAUUUUUUACAAAA